rnacentral:lncRNA from 1 species
GGUUUUUCUAUCAGGUUACUGCUGGCAGAACAGAGAAAGAGAGAGAGCAGGAGAGAGAGAGACAGACAGAAUCCACUAGUAGAAUAAGCCAUGAUCACCACUCAAAACUUGUGCUACUACUUGAUCAGUACCUGGAAUUCUGAGGAAAACCCUAUUAGAGAUUGCAAAUCCAGUAAAUAAAGGCAGCAGUGGUACCUUGUUAAAAACAUCAAAUCCAAAGUGCUCUGAGGAGGAAUAUGUACGGUGUGUUCUAGGGACAGAAAAUAAGACAAACGUGGCUGGAGUAUUGGAAGGGGAAGUGAGUGUUACUAGAGAAGGUCAUGAGGUGAGGCGGGCCAGAUCAUAUGGGUCUGUGUAAGCUAUGGCAAGGAGUGUGGAUUUUAUUCCAAGUAAGAUGGAAAGCCUUUAUGAAGUUUUAAAAACGGCAGUGUUAUGAUUUGUAACAUCUGAGUUUAUGUUUACAUCGUGG